AAAUUAAAUAAUGAAAAAAUGCAUAUAAAAUGAAAUAAAAUAUUUAUUUCUUUAUUAGAUAUAACAUAUACAUUUACAAAAACUAAAACACAUAUACACACGUACAUAUGUAUACAUACACUUUUAUAAAAGUGCAGUCGUGCUUAAACAAAAAAAAAAAAAACUUAAACAUGCACCCAAACCCAUAUUGUAACUGACAAGUCAAAGAAACGCAACAACAAAACAAAUCAAAACAAAGAGAAUUUUGCACAAAAGAGAAAGAGACAAAUAAAAGAAGCACAGACACACAAAAACAACAAUAAAAAUGCACAAAUACAAAUGUAACGCAUAAUAAAUAUAUGCAGAAGACUCUCAAGUUGGCAAAAGUAAAAGUCGCUUUUACGUUGUGUUGCAAAAGAACAAAAAAGAAGCCAACAACUUUACAACUGCAACAAAAACAAUAGUCAAGACUAGAAAAAAUAAACUAAUCACAACAGAAAGCAGCAACAACAGCAACAAGGAGUGACAUCCUUGCACAAGUUCUUUUUAGUUAUUUUGCGUAUUUCUCGUACUCACUCACUCGCUCUCACUCUCUCUCUCUCUCUCUAUCUGUCCUGCUUAACAUAUAAUAAAAUAUUUAGCUAUACUUGAAUCCAACACCAACUCAUAGCAAAGAAAAUAAGAAAGAAAAUACAAAAAACCCAGACAUAAAUUUAAUACAACAACUGCAAAAUAUAUAUAAAUGAACAAAAAUAAAAUACAUAAUAAAAAGGUUUUGCGUAACUUAAAUUUUUAAUAAACACCACAGCACAACCAAAUGUGCAGUCUGACUGACGCACAGUCUUUAGAGUCGACGGUCAGAAAGACUAACAGACAAAAAAACUAAAAAAAACAACCAACAAAACCCAACUUACAACAUUCAAACAACACAAAACCAAAAAAAGAGGGAAACGGAAACAAGCCAUAAUAAAAAAAAAACGUUACAUACAAACAGAAGCAGCCACCGCAAUGUAAAUUAUUAAAAGACAAUCUUAUGAAACCUGUAUCUGUCCAGAAGUAAGAACUGAAAAUCAAAUUACCCUACGAAACAAAAAAAAAAACAGCAAAAGAAAUAACAACAAUAAAGAAACUACAACUGCAGCAAAAUAAACUACUACAACGAAGCAAACUAUAAACAUCAUUCAACAAAUUGUAUCGUAUAUAGAGCAAAACUAAAUCCUUUUAAGGAUAUUCAAGCAUUAAAUUAGUCUUCAGUGGUAUAAAAAGAAAGAGAAAGAAAAUAUAUAAAUAAUAGAAAAAAAAUCAAUUUAGCGGAAGUGUUAAACGGGAAGAACUGCAAAUAUCACAAGAAUCAGAGGCAGUAGAGGCAACAUAAGCAGUCUGUAGUUUCCGUUUUGCACAAAUGUGAACGUUGUUAAAUGCGUGUGAAUGGCUGUAGUGUUAAUGUAUGUGUGCCAUUUUUCUUAAAAGUGUAUUUAGUGUAAAACAAAAACACACUUUUCUCUCAAGAAACAUGUCGAAUUUAAUUUUUAUGGAUGAAUCGAAUGGCAAUGGUGGUUAUGUAACUUCUACAACUACGACAUCAGCAGCAGCAGGCGCCGUCGCAAGCGUUAGCAGAACAAUAAAUAAUACAAAUAUUAAAAAUAACAAUAAUAACAUUUCCAACAACAUUAAUAUUAACAUCAACAACAACAAUUACAAUAACAACAACUGUAAUAAUAUCAACAAUAUAAUGGCAGCCGCAUCAAAUGCUGCCACAGCAGCCGCAUCUGCUGCUGCAUCUUGUGUGGGUGGUGUACAACUACCGAAUUCCGUAUCAAAUGAAGAUCUCAGCCAAAGUCUAUCGGAGUACACAGAUGCCGACGAAAGCAUAUCAGCACCAACCGAAUUUUUAGCAGAGUUUCUAUCUGCUGUCAUGCUCAAGGAUUACAAGAAAGCUUUAAAAUACUGCAAACUGAUUUUACAAUAUGAACCAGAUAAUUCCACAGCAAAAGAGUUUUAUCCCCUGAUAUUGGAUAAAUUAAGGGGUACCAAUACAUCUAGUGACAGCGAUGAAAAUUAUAAUAAAUCGUCAUCAUCACCUGAAUUAAUAUUAGAGGCACCAUCAUCAGAUCCUUCGGCUGGGGAGAGUGACGAACAUGAUGAACAAUAUUUAAGACAUAUUAGAGGGGGAGCGUAUAAUAGUGGAAAUGGUGGCGGUGAUAAAGGAUCCGCUGUUAUCAAUACAGAAAAUAAUGAUCCAAAUUCAAAUGUUAGCACCAGUAGUAGUGCAGAAGUUGAAGAAGAGGAUGAAGUGGAGGGUGAUGAAGAGGAAGGCUGUGGUUCUAUGGAUGGCAGUUUAAGUGAAGACGAUGUAGAAGAUGAUGAUGAAGACGAUUGUGAAGAUGACGACGAAGAGGAUGAUGAUGACGAUGACGACGAGGACGUAGAUGAUGAAGAUGACAUUAUGAGCAGUAGUGGUGAUGAUUUACCAGUUGAUGAACAACAAAUACUUGUAGGUGAUGUUUUAGAUUUAGAUGCUUCAUCGGCAAAUGCUUGUGGCGUCGAGGCAGCAAUUAAUAUUUCCAACUCAUCACGCAAUUCAUCAAGCGGUGGCAAAGGGAGCAGUCGCAGUGACAAUACCACACAUUCAUAUUCAAGUCUUUUGCUAGAGGAAGAAGAUGACAUUGUGCCUGCAAACCUACACUUUCCCAAAGAUUUACAUACCACAGAUUUGGAUGUUAGCAAUGGCAAUAAAGUACCUUCAACCUCUUGUAGUGACUCUGAAUCGCCCACAGAACCUUUGACUCAAAGAUUAGCCGCCAUAUUGCGUUCGAAAUGUGGGGUAUCAAAUACGGGUGGUUAGAAAAAAAAAUAACGAAGAAAAUAAAAACAAUAAAACCAAAACUUGCAAAAGCUCUUUAGCAUGCGAACUCAUUAGAGAUGCUUAUUAAUCACAACAUACAGACAUACAUAGUAUAUUUAUACAAUAAUACUAUAUUUA
rnacentral:misc_RNA from 1 species